rnacentral:rRNA from 1 species
CCUACGGGUGGCAGCAGUGGGGAAUAUUGCACAAUGGGGGGAACCUUGAUGCAGCAACGCCGCGUGGGUGAAGAAGUACUCCGGUAUGUAAAGCCCUGUCAGCAGGGAAGAAAAUGACGGUACCUGACCAAGAAGCCCCGGCUAACUACGUGCCAGCAGCCACGGUAAUACGUAGGGGGCAAGCGUUAUCCGGAUUUACUGGGUGUAAAGGGAGCGUAGACGGCUGUGCAAGCCAGAUGUGAAAGCCCGGGGCUCAACCCCGGGACUGCAUUUGGAACUGUGUGGCUGGAGUGUCGGAGAGGCAGGCGGAAUGCCUAGUGUAGCGGUGAAAUGCGUAGAUAUUAGGAGGAACACCAGUGGCGAAGGCGGCCUGCUGGACGAUGACUGACGUUGAGGCUCGAAAGCGUGGGGAGCGAACAGGAUUAGAUACCCGAGUAGUC